UACGGAGGGUGCGAGCGUUGUCCGGAAUCACUGGGCGUAAAGGGCGCGUAGGUGGCUCGUGAAGCGUGCGGUGAAAGCCCGGAGCUCAACUCCGGGUCGGCCGUCGAUACUUCCGGGCUUGAGCACUGUAGAGGCAGAUGGAAUUCCGGGUGUAGCGGUGGAAUGCGUAGAGAUCCGGAAGAACACCGGUGGCGAAGGCGGUCCGCUGGGCAGUUGCUGACGCUGAUGCGCGACAGCGUGGGGAGCAAACAGG
rnacentral:rRNA from 1 species